rnacentral:rRNA from 1 species
AGGAAGCACCGGCUAACUCCGUGCCAGCAGCCGCGGUAAUACGGGGGGUGCAAGCGUUGUUCGGAUUUAUUGGGCGUAAAGCGCGUGUAGGCGGUUUUAUAAGUCUGAUGUGAAAGCCCUGGGCUCAACCCGGGAAGUGCAUUGGAUACUGUAAGACUUGAAUACGGGAGAGGGCAGUGGAAUUCCUAGUGUAGGAGUGAAAUCCGUAGAUAUUAGGAGGAACACCGGUGGCGAAGGCGGCUGCCUGGACCGAUAUUGACGCUGAGACGCGAAAGCGUGGGUAGCAAACAGGAUUAGAUACCCUGGUAGUCCACGCNGUAAACGAUGAGAACUAGGUGUCGCGGGUAAAUCG